rnacentral:rRNA from 1 species
UGGCUCAGGACGAACGCUGGCGGCGUGCCUAAUACAUGCAAGUCGAGCGGACCGACGGGAGCUUGCUCCCUUAGGUCAGCGGCGGACGGGUGAGUWMCACGUGGGUAACCUGCCUGUAAGACUGGGAUAACUCCGGGAAACCGGGGCUAAUACCGGAUGCUUGAUUGAACCGCAUGGUUCAAUCAUAAAAGGUGGCUUUUAGCUACCACUURCAGAUGGACCCGCGGCGCAUUAGCUAGUUGGUGAGGUAACGGCUCACCAAGGCGACGAUGCGUAGCCGACCUGAGAGGGUGAUCGGCCACACUGGGACUGAGACACGGCCCAGACUCCUACGGGAGGCAGCAGUAGGGAAUCUUCCGCAAUGGACGAAAGUCUGACGGAGCAACGCCGCGUGAGUGAUGAAGGUUUUCGGAUCGUAAAACUCUGUUGUUAGGGAAGAACAAGUACCGUUCGAAUAGGGCGGUACCUUGACGGUACCUAACCAGAAAGCCACGGCUAACUACGUGCCAGCAGCCGCGGUAAUACGUAGGUGGCAAGCGUUGUCCGGAAUUAUUGGGCGUAAAGCGCGCGCAGGCGGUUUCUUAAGUCUGAUGUGAAAG